rnacentral:rRNA from 1 species
GUAGGGGGGGCAAGCGUUGUCCGGAAUUAUUGGGCGUAAAGCGCGCGCAGGGCGGCCUGUUAAGUCGGGGUGUGAAAGACCACGGGCUCAACCGUGGGGGUGCAUCCGAAACUGGCGGGCUUGAGUGCAGGAGAGGGGAGCGGAAUUCCCGGUGUAGCGGUGGAAUGCGUAGAGAUCGGGAGGAACACCAGUGGCGAAGGCGGCUCUCUGGCCUGUAACUGACGCUGAGGCGCGAAAGCGUGGGGAGCGAACAGGAUUAGAUACCCUGGUAGUCCACGCCGUAAACGAUGAGUGCUAGGUGUUGGGGGUAUCACGCCCUCUGUGCCGAAGGUAACCCAAUAAGCACUCCGCCUGGGGAGUACGGCCGCAAGGCUG